rnacentral:rRNA from 1 species
GACGAACGCUGGCGGCGUGCUUAACACAUGCAAGUCGAACGGAAAGGCCCUGCUUUUGUGGGGUGCUCGAGUGGCGAACGGGUGAGUAACACGUGAGUAACCUGCCCUUGACUUUGGGAUAACUUCAGGAAACUGGGGCUAAUACCGGAUAGGAGCUCCUGCUGCAUGGUGGGGGUUGGAAAGUUUCGGCGGUUGGGGAUGGACUCGCGGCUUAUCAGGUUGUUGGUGGGGUAGUGGCUUACCAAGGCUUUGACGGGUAGCCGGCCUGCGAGGGUGACCGGCCACAUUGGGACUGAGAUACGGCCCAGACUCCUACGGGAGGCAGCAGUGGGGAAUAUUGCACACUGGGCGGAAGCCUGAUGCAGCAACGCCGCGUGCGGGAUGACGGCCUUCGGGUUGUAAACCGCUUUCGCCUGUGACGAAGCGUGAGUGACGGUAAUGGGUAAAGAAGCACCGGCUAACUACGUG